rnacentral:rRNA from 1 species
GACGAACGCUGGCGGCGUGCCUAAUACAUGCAAGUCGAACGCUUCUUUCCUCCCGAGUGCUUGCACUCAAUUGGAAAGAGGAGUGGCGGACGGGUGAGUAACACGUGGGUAACCUACCCAUCAGAGGGGGAUAACACUUGGAAACAGGUGCUAAUACCGCAUAACAGUUUAUGCCGCAUGGCAUAAGAGUGAAAGGCGCUUUCGGGUGUCGCUGAUGGAUGGACCCGCGGUGCAUUAGCUAGUUGGUGAGGUAACGGCUCACCAAGGCCACGAUGCAUAGCCGACCUGAGAGGGUGAUCGGCCACACUGGGACUGAGACACGGCCCAGACUCCUACGGGAGGCAGCAGUAGGGAAUCUUCGGCAAUGGACGAAAGUCUGACCGAGCAACGCCGCGUGAGUGAAGAAGGUGUUCGGAUCGUAAAACUCUGUUGUUAGAGAAGAACAAGGACGUUAGUAACUGAACGUCCCCUGACGGUAUCUAACCAGAAAGACACGGCUAACUACGUG